rnacentral:rRNA from 1 species
GCAGUCGAGCGUGAAGUCUUGGAAUGAUACUUCGGUAAAGUAAAGAGAUGGAAAGCGGCGGACGGGUGAGUAACGCGUAGGUAACCUGCCCCAUACACAGGGAUAGCCUAGGGAAACCUGGAUUAAUACCUGAUAACGCAGAGGAGUCACAUGACUUUUCUGCCAAAGAUUUAUCGGUAUGGGAUGGACCUGCGUCUGAUUAGUUAGUUGGUGAGGUAACGGCUCACCAAGACAGCGAUCAGUAGCCGACCUGAGAGGGUAAUCGGCCACAUUGGAACUGAGACACGGUCCAAACUCCUACGGGAGGCAGCAGUGGGGAAUACUGCACAAUGGGCGCAAGCCUGAUGCAGCAACGCCGCGUGAGCGAAGAAGGUCUUCGGAUCGUAAAGCUCUGUCCUUGGGGAAGAAAAAAAUGACGGUACCCAAGGAGGAAGCCCCGGCUAACUACGUGCCAGCAGCCGCGGUAAUACGUAGGGGGCGAGCGUUAUCCGGAAUUAUUGGGCGUAAAGAGUACGUAGGUGGUUUUGUAAGCGUGUGGUGAAAGACCGAAGCUCAACUUCGGUUAGCCUCGCGAACUGCAAGACUUGAGUGCAGGAGAGGAAAGUGGAAUUCCUAGUGUAGCGGUGAAAUGCGUAGAUAUUAGGAGGAACGCCAGUGGCGAAGGCGACUUUCUGGACUGUAACUGACACUGAGGUACGAAAGCGUGGGUAGCAAACAGGAUUAGAUACCCUGGUAGUCCACGCCGUAAACGAUGAGCACUAGGUGUCGGGGUCGCAAGGCUUCGGUGCCGCAGUUAACGCAUUAAGUGCUCGCCCUGGGGGAGUACGCACGCAAGUGU